GGGGGACUCCUACGAGAGGCAGCAGUGAGGAAUAUUGGUCAAUGGGCGGGAGCCUGAACCAGCCAAGUCGCGUGAAGGAAGAAGGAUCUAUGGUUCGUAAACUUCUUUUGCAGGGGAAUAAAGUGCGGGACGUGUCCUGUUUUGUAUGUACCCUGAGAAUAAGGAUCGGCUAACUCCGUG
rnacentral:rRNA from 1 species